AGCUUCAUGGCGCAGUGGAAGCGCGCCGGGCUUGCACAGGACCCGGAGGUCCUCCGAUCGAAACGGAGCGGAGCUA